GAUGAACGCUGACAGAAUGCUUAACACAUGCAAGUCGAUGGGGAAGUGGUGCUUGCACCAUGGCAACCAUGGCGGACGGGUGAGUAACGCGUAAGGGACUUACCUGCAGGACUGGGAUAACAGGGGGAAACUCCUGACAAGACCGGAUAAUGUCAUGGAGCUGCAUGGCUUUAUGAUGAAAGGAGACGCCUGCGGAGAGCCUUGCGUCCUAUUAGCUAGUUGGUGAGGUAAUGGCUCACCAAGGCGAAGAUAGGUAGCCGGCCUGAGAGGGUGGACGGCCACAAGGGGACUGAGAUACGGCCCUUACUACUACGGGAGGCAGCAGUGGGGAAUAUUGGACAAUGGGGGCAACACUGAUCCAGCAAUUCUGUGUGCACGAAGAAGGUUUUCGGAUUGUAAAGUGCUUUCAGCAGGGAAGAAGUAAGUGACGGUACCUGCAGAAGAAGCGACGGCUAAAUACGUG
rnacentral:rRNA from 1 species